ensembl:lncRNA
CACUUUUCAGUUAAACGUCUUUUUCAAAGAUGACGUUACGUAUACAAAUAAUUUUAACAUGUGAUCAACAACUCACAGUUGUGUUCUCUUAGUUACAAGUGAAAUUUAAUACAUAUGUUGGACGAUCGAGCUGCUUUUUAACUUUGAACGUAAGUUGACAUUUGUUUCAAACGCCCCGCCUAGUAGGGACGUUUGAAACACACAUGCGGGACGAUUGAAACAGCAUAUUUUAAAAAGAAUCUAUUGCCCUUACUCUUGUUUUUAUGCAACAUACUAGACAACAUACUAGUUUACUCGUCAUUGCUAAAAUCUCACAUAAUUCCGCAUCAUAUAAAUAGGUCAAAAUAUAUUUUUGGCCCGUGCGUAAUUAUCAAGAUGCACAUUUCGAUUAAAACUCACCUUUCUUCUUUUGGACGACUACAUUUGCAUUAAAUUUACUUAUUUCCCUGUCCUAAGUCAUGUUUAAGGAUACCCAGUUGAACAUCCUUUUAUUUAUUUUAAACAAAAACGACCAGGUCAACAGGAUAUCACGAGACCUGUUACAGCGGAUAUUUAUCCAAGCGCCGCACAGGGUUAAUUUCUUUUCGACACGCACAGCCUGGCGCACAGAAGCAUCCGGAGUCUCUGUGGACAGGUGACACAGGUAGUGUGCACUCCCGUCGGUGCAAGCCUCAUGCGACCACUUAUAACAAAAGACACACUGGACCCACUCUUCCCCAGGCAUCGAGGCGCUGAAGAGCUCGGAGCACACGAGGCAGCUGACGUCCUCGCUGGAUAGGCCUAAAUAAAUUGGAGAAGUGGAGGCAGCAAUGGUGGUGAACUCUGCUGCCUCCGGAACAGGACAAACUAGGCCUAAGGUGGGGCUGACUCCAUCAGCGGGCCAGGUGAUGGUGGGAGGAGCAGCUGAGGUGGCAACUCCAGCAACUCCGGCAUCAGGAGCGGGCGAGAACAGCCUCUUCUUGGGAGCCCGAGAGGAGGGAGGCUGCUUGGCGGGACGACGCUGCUUCCCAGUUCCCUGCUUUUCCGCCUCUAAAGCAGCCCUCACCGGGGGUGUCCGUAAGUAUAGCAGUUGUCCUGAAAACGUUAAAUUGGACGUUUUGGACUUUUUAAAAAAAAAAAACUAAAAAAAUGGACUUUUUUUAUGAACUUGGACUUAUGGGACUAUUUACUUAUCUAUUAUGAACUCUGUUUAAUCCUCUGUUGCUUCUGAUGAAGUGUUCCUACCUGAAGUGGCACCUGGAGAAGCGCUGACCUCGUCACCCGAAGCCUGGGGAGGAGGACGGUCUGUGGAAUAGGCUCCGGCGAAGUCCUUUUCCUCAAACGCAGAGGGGUUAAAAGGCCAGAUCCCUGGACUUGAGAACCCGGAGGUGGGACGGGUGAUUGUCCAGCAGGAGGAGCAGCUUCGACUCCUUGGACACACGGGUGUGCCUGGUGAAGUGGGCCAGGUACAGGAGGAAGUCUGGCUCCUUCAUCCAGCCAGUUGGGUUGCCGCUGCCUGCACAGCCAACGGGUCCACCCCUCAGGAAGUGGUCUUUGAACCGCUUACGGGGGAAGAUGAAGAAUGGCGGAACAAGGUCGCCCUGCGCAUUGCCUGCCAAGGCAACUGUGACCAGGGUCCCCCUCUCCGCUGAGGUCACUGACCCGACCUGCUUCUGCCCCAUCUGGGCGACGACACGGUCUGGCACCUGGACAGUGGUGACCCCUGUAAAUAGUUGUGUGAGUAUAGUUGUGUAUAUAUAUAUAGUUGUGUGUAUAUAGUUGUGUUUUUUUGUUAAUAAAGUUCAUAUUAAAUACCGGUUUCAUCAAUGUUCCAAAUGUCCUUGGCCUGGAACUGGUGCCGUUCCAGCACCGUCUUUAAAUUUUGGUGGAACAAGUUUACAUUUGUUUGGUUGAAGCUGGACAAUCGCUGUUGGCUAGUGGCCUCUGGACGCCGAAGGGAGAGGCUGCCACUGCGCUCCAUGAAGGAGGUGAACCAGUCCUUCCCCGCCAUGCUCUUCCUCGACCAGGAUGCAGGGAAUGGGCAGCUGAAGUGGACUGCCAGCUCAAAGGCAAAUUUUCUGACCUGAAGGGGUCAUAAAAAGUUGAUGUUUAUGUUUAUGUUAUUU